UCCCCUGCUAGCCUCCAAAUCCUCAAACAAUUGUAAGAGCCUAUCUUCAUACACAUUACAAGACACUCCUACCAUCUUGCUAAAAUCCAGAAUUCUUUGAAGAACCCAAUUAGAAGGUGGUGGUCUAACGUCAAGUGCACUAGCUUUCGUUAUCUCAUCAGCAUAAAUAGGAUCGUAGUAAUGUCCCUCCUCUUCCUCCACCUGUUCAGCAACAUUAUCUGUGUUUCCCUUCUCAGCGCCACCCAUCCACACCACCAAUGCAUUAUCAUUCUCUAGACCCCAUUCAUUCGAAGACUUAGCGCUUCGCCUGCUGUAGGUGUUCACCGCCUUAGUGGCCGGGCCUGUUUUCCCAUGCUAGUCUUCAAGUGCCGACCCUGAAUGUUCACCCAGUUCAAGUCCAACCUCUUGCACAUCAUCUGGCAACGAUCAUUUUACAAGUGGAAUCGUGUCUAAUGACCCCACGAUCGUAGAACAAAUAACUAUGUUCGCUUCCAAGACUUCCGAGGCAAUAUUCCUAAUGCCCUGCUCUCCUCCUUCCGUCCGAGGUUCCGUCCCUCGAUAUGCCUCGAUCCUUGGUUCCACUCCACCCCUUUUCGAUCCUUCCAUCUCGUCUUGAUUCUCAUCUCCAGAAGAAGUGUCCACAUCAAACCCCGUCUGGGACUCGCUACAAGGCUUAUCCAACACCUACUGAUCUUUAGCCGGAACCCCUAUCGGCACUGGCUCCUUGACAUCCAAAUUAACUGACUCCUCCAAUCUCACCCCACACUCAUGACAAUAGCUUGACCUGGACCCCACUAUAGACCCACUUUCCACAACCUUUAUCAAUCCAUCCAAUUCUCCUUUCAACGCCUGUAUGCGAGCCAUUAUUUCGACAUGAGGGUCAUUUCUCCCAUUGCCCACCCAUUCCUUCUGCAACAAUACCCUCUGAUCAGUACUUUGCGAAGCCCGUGCAUUUGCCGUGACUUCGGCAUAAGUCAUCCCUCAUUGGCUUCUUUCGUCAUAUGUUUGACGUACCACCUUGUCCCUG
rnacentral:lncRNA from 1 species